ensembl:lncRNA
GGCAUGUCAAGGCCACGCAGGCAAGAGAACACAAACAUUCAGCCCAGAUAUGGAGAGGCAGCUGGGUAUUUACAUUACCCAACAGAGCAAAGGUUGCCACUCCUCAAUGCUGCAAAAUGUCUGCCAAAGGAAUGAGGCUAUAUAAUUCCUCUUGGGAUCUUGGUAAAGAGAGUCCACUGCAUUUUAUAAGCAUGGAAAGAAGUCCUGAGCUUCAUACUGACUGGGCCACCACCGAACUGAUGUCUGUGACCAGUGGAAUACCAGAGGCUAAGUAGGUUAGGCCUGGAUUGCCUCAACUAAAUACUAUGGCAGAGAAUGGAUGGCCCAGAGUGGUUAAGAGUAAUGAGGGUUCACAGUUGGAGGUGGUGGUAGAAUCAGUUCCACCCAUAUCAAGUAGUUCCUUAGAAGAGAACCACAAUGUCCACUGCAGAAAAUAAUUUGGAAAGACC